GUCGGCUGCUUGCAAUAAUCGCAAAAACAAACUUACAUAAACCGAUCGGAAGAGAUUGGAUAAAUAGCAUUUUUGUCGCUUUUCUUGUUGAAUAAAACCAUUGAGCAUAUUUGACGACUGUUUUUGUCACCCUUUCAGGUCCACCUAAGUUCUUACCCAUUUCUUUCUCCAGACUCCAGCAGAUAUUCACACACAGUUGCAGAGAUUUCAAUCACACUCAACCCAAUAGGAUCUAACAGUAACAGGGUUAAUAAUCAUUCUACAUUGGAGUGAUAGUUAGCUUAAAAUCAUCAGUGGAAGCCAUAACCAGAUAGUAAGGUUGGAUAUCUCUACAUUCUUCAGUGUCUUUACCAGCAACCUCUCUUGCACCAAGACCUUGUAUUAUGCUUAAGGGCUUAAGCCACUUUGAGGGUUGGGACAAAAAUUUGUGUUCCUUUUCAACCUUUUACUGGAAUUGUAAUGCUUAUUCUAUAUUCUUAGAGUUCACAAUGGAGAAUUGGCCUCAUUAGCUUGGAUUAGGGGAAGUCAAUAUAAGUAAAGUGGUGGAAUAACUUGCAUACUUUUUGAAAUAAAAGCCUCGACUGGUUCGAUGGGCAAGGAAAACUUAUCAGAAGCUGAGGUUGGAGUCAGUGAGGAAGGUGGCUCACCUAGACAGAGUGAUUAUCUAGGGACUCACCCACGCCAUAGUCUUGACAAGGAUGCCGGACUGCCAACUUGUCGUGUGUGCCAUUGCGCUGAAUCUGACAAAAGGGGAGAUGCAGCAUUAGAGUUCUUGGGUAUCACUCCUCCUUUACAAGAAGCAUGCAUAAGCCACAGGGAAGUAAAUCCUGACAGCAAUAUAGCCCUGAAAGGUGCUGAAAGUUAUAGUUCUGUCAAGAAAAAUGUUGGAAAUGAACCUAGGUUUUUGGAGUUUAUAGGCCCUGAUGGAGAAGUUUUCAUUUGUAGUGCUGAUUUAGAAAUGGGUUCAUGUCAGCAUCAAGACACUUUACUGGAGCUUGGUUGCUCUUGCAAAAAUGACCUUGCUCUAGUACACUAUUCAUGCGCACUCAAAUGGUUUAUCAACCAUGGGUCCACUGUUUGUGAAAUCUGUGGACGUGUUUCAAAGAAUAUCAGAGCUACAGAUUUCAAAAAGGUUCUUCUUUCAUUGAAAGAGUAUGAAUCAUUGAGGGAAAGAACUGCUAGUGGGCAAACUGAUCCGCCACAUGCCAAUACAAGUACAGGUGUAGAUCCGGAUGCUGUAGCUGCUAUUCGAAGGCAACGGCUGAGUGAGAUUUCCCUGUGGUUCAGUCCACAUAAUAAUGGUAACGUUAACAAUAAUACAAAUGACAAUUCUGUUGCACUUUCACAAGUUGCAUCAGAAGAACCUCAGAAUACUGCGGUUGUCCCUGCUGAAAAUGUUGCAACCAAAUGGGCUAUGGAAGCUACUGCUAUUCUGCUUGCCACAGGGCUGCUUACCGUUACUAUAGUGUGGCUUUUAGCUCCUCAUGUUGGGAAGAAAACUGCCAGAAGUGGUCUUCAUAUUCUCCUGGGAGGAAUUUGUGCUUUAACAGUUGUGGUUUUCUUUCGAUUUCUUCUGAUUGUCUUUACGGCGACAUGAAUGUCUUGAAGUUUUCUUCAAGGGUUGAUGCUGCAAAAGCACCAAAUCCAUCAUCUAGUCCUAGUCUUCACCCCCUUGAAAGUAGACAUCCCCGCAUGGCCUAGCAUAUCACCACCUAUACAAUGGCUCUGUCUCCCUUCAAGGAUUGGUCCAAUGUUUGUUGCUUCUCAAACUCUAUCUCAGUAGCAGAUCUUGUUUUUCCAUACUGUCCAUUCCUCCCCUUACUAUGACCAUGAGAACAAAGAUUGCCAAUCCUCUCAAGACUAGGAGUGUGUGCCAAGAUAACCAAAGUUUUGAUAGCCGUCGUAAUUUAUUCACCUAGAAAACAAAAUCAAGCCACAAAAUUUCAGUUAAGUAAAAUAUGUUUGUGGCGUUCAAUUGAUUUUAAGAUAUCUAGUACAUUAUUGAAACUUUGGUUCCUUUUUACCACUUCAUCUUGUACAAAAGAUUGUGGAUGUAGUUUUAAUAGCAAAUGAGGUUGUGGAGGAAGUGAGGAAAAAGAAGAAUCUGAGUUUAGCUUUUACAAUUGACUUUGAAAAGGCCUACGAUCUUCUGGAUUGGGAUAUUUUGGUUUUCGUAAUGGAGCAAAAGGAUUUUGGGGUUGUUUUGGAGUAGGUGUGGAUAGGAGGGUGUUUGAGGUUAGUCAAUUUCUCUAGUCCAAUGAAUGGGCGGCCACAGGGUAAGUUUGGAGCCACAAGAGGACCAACGCAAGAAGAAAUGUUGCCACCUUUCUGUACUUCGGUGAUUGAUGGAAGUACGAUGGUGGAAAGAGCAAGUCAAGUGAAUUUUUUUUGAAGGGUUGGCUGUUCGGAGGGAAGAAAUGGGAUAAUUAAGAGAGUAAAGUGGAGGAGUUAGCAGUGGUGCUGGGAUGUGACAUGGGACACUGGUCUUUAGAGUAUGUAGGGUUGCCUCUUGGUGGUUAACCCCAAGCUAUAAGUCUUUGGCAUCCAGUGGUGGAAAGAGUAGAAAGGAGAUUAAAAGGAAUGGAGUAAAACUUUCCUAUCAAGAGGGGGAUGAUUGACUGGAUUGAAUCUGUUUUAAGCAAUCUGGCAAUCCGCUAUACAUCUCUUUUUUGCAUUUCUGUAGUUGUGGCUAGAAGAGAGUCUUGUAAGUUAUGGCCAAUACCAGGUAUAUAAGCAGUUUUUUGUCGGAGGGUGUGUGUUGGAGGGAAAACAGGGUCAUUUAGUCAAAUGGGAUGUGACUUUCUCAAGCCAAGAAAAGAGUUGUCAGUGCGGGAAGCUUUAUUAAAGAAGAAUGAAGUUCUACUUGGAAAGUGGCUUUGGCUCUUUAGUGAUAAGAGGAUGCCCUCUGGUAUGCUGUCAUCAGAAGCAAGUACUACAUGAAAAUGGUUGGGAUUCCAAUUUUGAUAAGAGAGUAAGCUAUCAGAGGAGACACCCUUGGUGCCUGUCCGGACGUUGUUGUAUGAUGUGUAAUGAUGUUGCUUAGACUGUAAAUCAUGUUCUCCUUCAUUCCUCAAUUGCAAUGAGCUUAUGCAGAAAUUAUUUAUUGAGGCUAAUUUCAGAUGGGAUGCUCCAGCUUCUUGCAAGGCCUUAUUGUGUUUGAGGUAUAAAUUCUUUGGAGGAAAGACAAAAGGAAUGGUGUUGGGAGGUUGUGCUAUAUUAGCAAUCAUUUGGGUGGUGCGCAUGCAAAGGAAUAAGAGUCUUUAAGGGAGCUGGGGAUGAGAAGAUAAAACACUUUAUAGAGUUCGAUACGUGGCUUUGCUCCAAGGCAUCAGUUUCUCAAUGGAUUGGGAAGUUGUGCUUCUGUUUUAGUUUGUGCUCACAAGAAUCAAGUAUGGACCGGCACGUUACUGGGCAAUAUUGUUUGUCUUUUGGUUUCUCGUAUUUGGAAUUUGGGCUUCACGCACACAUGGCGCGCACAAAACAUAAUUCUGUUGUAUGCUAUUUAAGCUUGUCAAUUCAUCCUUUUUCCAUCUCGGAAAGAAACUCAAUAGAACUUCCUUUAUCUUGGUCUGAGUUUAUUAGUGUUUUUUAAAUGCAAAAAUAUAAAUGAGCUAUGUAUAGGCAAUUAUUUGCACUGCACUGUGAUAUAAAUAUAAGUCAACCUUUUUUGAAGGGUAAGAUAUCAGCAAUUACCUGAAGA